AAUUACCCAAUCCUGACACAGGGAGGUAGUGACAAGAAAUAACAAUACAGGGCAAUUGUCUUGUAAUUGGAAUGAUGGUGACCUAAACCCUCACCAGAGUAACAAUUGGAGGGCAAGUCUGGUGCCAGCAGCCGCGGUAAUUCCAGCUCCAAUAGCGUAUAUUAAACUUGUUGCAGUUAAAAAGCUCGUAGUUGAAUUUCUGCGUUAUCGAGUUAUUGACUCUUGUCUUUAAUCGAUUUCGCUUUUGGGAUUUAUCCCUUUUUACUUUGAGAAAAUUAGAGUGUUUCAAGCAGACUUUUGUCUUGAAUACUUCAGCAUGGAAUAAUAGAGUAGGACUUUGGUUCUAUUUUGUUGGUUUUUGAACCUUAGUAAUGGUUAAUAGGAACGGUUGGGGGCAUUCGUAUUUAA
rnacentral:rRNA from 1 species